UACAGAGGUCCCAAGCGUUGUUCGGAUUUACUGGGCGUAAAGGGUGCGUAGGUGGUCGGGUAAGUCUCAUGUGAAAUCUCCAAGCUUAACUUGGAAAUGGCAUGGGAUACUAUUCGGCUAGAGGAUUGGAGGGGGGACUGGAAUUCCCGGUGUAGCAGUGAAAUGCGUAGAUAUCGGGAGGACCACCACUGGCGAAUGCGAGUCCCUGGACUAUUCCUGACGCUGAGGCACGAUAUCUAGGGGAGCAGACAGG
rnacentral:rRNA from 1 species